AAAAUAAAAAUAGUAUUUUCUAAUCUAGGAAGAAGAUAUAAGAAAAUAGGUGAACAUUUAUAUCUAAUGUUAGAAAAAGAAGAAUUAAAAUUAGAAGAUAAAUUGACAGCAAUGGUAAGAAUAGAAAGAGAAAAUGAAGAGAUAGAUAGGAAAAAAGAAAUAGAAAAAAUAAAACAACAAACUACGGAAGAAAUACGAAAAAUAGAAGAAACUAAAAAUAGUAGGAUUGCUGAAUUAGAAAAAGAACUACAAAUGUUAAAAGAACUGUAUGAACAAAGGCAAAA
rnacentral:lncRNA from 1 species